CACCCAAGACUGUGCUCCUUCGUUCAUCCAGCGUUUAUUGGCAUCUCCUACUACCUGAGCUGUUUUAGGCAGGGAACAAAGCAAAGAUAAGCCCUCCUGGAGCUUACAUUCUGAUGAAGGGGGCAGGCAAGGAAGGGCGAGCGCGGCGGCCUGCGCUCAGCGACCCUUCGUCCUCCGCUGAGCUCCAACGCUCUGCUCGACUCGCCGCGCGCCUUCCGGGGCUCCGCGGACCCGCGAGAUGGCACCAAGGAGGAACAACGGGCAGUGCUGGUGUCU
rnacentral:sRNA from 1 species